rnacentral:lncRNA from 10 species
AUUCCCAUAAGCCCUGCACCCAGUUAUUUACUGUAUUAUUAGCAUCUUAUGUUAAUAUGGUAUGCUUGUCAAAAUCAAUGAGUCAAUACUGAUAUGUUAUUUAACUAAAGUCCAUAUAUUAUUCAAAUUUCCUUAAAUUUUACCUCGUACUUUUUCUGUUCCAGCAACCCAUCAGGAUCUCUCUUUUAUUUAUUUAUUUAUUUAUUUUUUUUGAGACAGAUUUUCUUGUUGCCCAGUUUGGAGUGCAAUGGUGUGAUCUUGGCUCAAAUGGUGUGAUUUCCACUCCUGGGUUCAAGAGAUUCUCCCUCCUCAGCCUCCCUAGUAGCUGGGAUUAUAGGCACCUGCCACCCUGCCCAGCUAAUUUUCUUUUUUCUUCUUUUUUUUUUUUUUUAGUGGAGAUGGGGUUUCACCAUGUUGGCCGGGCUGGCUUCGAACUCCUGACCUCAAGUGACCCACCUGCCUUGGCCUCCCAAAUUGCUGGGAUUACAGGCAUGAGCCACCAUGCCCAGCCCAGGCUCUCAUAUUGAUACUAACAUUUUUGAAGAGCCAAUUUAGUACCAGAUGCAUUUAUGUCAUCAUUUCAUUUAAUUUUCAUACAUAGUAUUUAGGUAGGCAUUAUUUUCUCAUUUUAAGAAUGACACAACUGAUAUCAGAGAGGGUAACUGACUUUCUCAGAGAAACUCAGAACCCAGGAAGUACUGAAGCAAUCAAUGAUUCAUAUCCAAGCCAUCUGGUCCCAACCCAUUUUUUUUCUUCUCGUAUCUUGCUAUCUUUCUCACUUGCAAUACAAUGAUCAAAUUUAUAUUUGAAACACGUAUUGCACAUAUAGUGUUGCAUUCACAUUUUGGAAAAUAGUUAUACAGGAGAUUCCUUACUUGCUUUAAUGCAAGUAGAAUUGUUUGUAAGACUUUCCAUCUGAUUUCUCACAGCCAGAGAGACUUAUCUGAGCUGCAGAAAUCUAAAGUACAGCUGCCAAAGAAUAAUUGGUCAUUGAAUGAUAGAUGACUUAUUGCUAUAAUAUGUUUAAUAAUGCCUUGUUAUUGAAGGUUCUAUAUUACAGAAGAUGCAUUUCAACUUCUAUUUCACUCAGAGGUGAUAUAAAAGAAUGUGAGCCAUAUUUUGGGUUGAGUCAUAUAUUAUUAGAGGUUUUUUGUCUAUUUUUUUCUGAGUUAACAAGGUUACUCACAAACAAUUCACACCAGAAACAAAACAUAUGGUCAUUGGAAAGGGAAUUCAUGGGACUUCUCACAAUCUUUAGUUAUUUACAUCAUACUUCAUUACAAUUCAGUUACAUGAAAUCCCCAUUCUAGAGUUUCAACUCUUCUCAAAUAUACAAUAUCAAUUGUCCUGUGGUUGACAGGAAAAUUGAGCUUUCAAAAAUCUUGAAUGUGCUGGAGAAAAAGGUGAAAAAUAAACACAAUAGGAUAAACAGCCAUUAUUUUAAGCAGAAUCUUUUUCUCUCACAACUGUAUUUCACCUGCUUAACACUAAUAAUUAAAAGGAUCUAAAAAUAGUCCUAUAGGAGCCAAAGGUUUCAGUAACAGAUUAGAAUUACUGGAUGUCCAUUUCUUGUGGUUAAUAACAGAUCUAUUGUGUUGACUUAAAACAUAAAAGGGUGAUUAUUCCCAACAGAUAUUUUCUUCUUUACGUUAAACACGGAAGUCUACAAAAAAAAAUACUGACUGUUCUUGGUAAGUAGAUUUUAAUUUGUAUCUAUAUAGUAUGCUUCUCACUUCAUUAGGCUUAGAAUUUGUGACUGAACAGCACUGUUUGGGCAGCCUGCUGCCUAGUUGGUGAUGUCAGAAGCAAUUACUUUCACAGAUUUAAGAUUUUGUCAUCACACAUAUCCUGUCUUUAGUUAUCUGAGUGGACAGCCCCAUCAAGGACAAUAUGUAUUUCAUCAUAUAUUUCUCGUGUCAUUUUAAAAACAGCUCAAGGAUCAUCCCCCUUUGCACAACAAGAAUGCAUCAGUUGGAUGAAUGGUUAAAUAGAGCCAUCCAAAUUCAGAAAUACACUUCUUUUCCUAAUUUCAAAUUAUUUCUGUAGAAUAAAUGUUGAGUACAUUUACCUGGUUUCUUUAUUUUGGCUCAUGGCCCCUGGAAGAAGGGGAUUGAUACCUCCUUUUUUUUUUAAUUUAUGGCAGAAACCUAGAAAUCAUCAUAGAUUUUAGCUUGGCCUUCCUCAUUCAAUUAGAGACCAAAUCUUGUGGAGUUUCUUCUUUGACAUGUAUCAUUUCACUAUUUCUUAAUAAGCUUCCACUCCUAGUUUAGUUUUUUUUUUUUUGCCUGAGCUAUUAUAAUAGUGUUCUUAUUGUUUUGCCUAAUUCUUUCCUUCACACAGUCACUGCAAAGAAAGGUUUUGAGAAAUGCAGAUUUGACCACAGUUUCCCUAAUUUUCAACCUUCCGAGAUUUCUUAUUGCCUUCAGGCACAAGUGCAAACUCUCUCCAUGACCUCACUUUUCAAAUGUCUUCUCCUGGGGGCAUGUAUACUCUGUAACAUCAGGCUGUUUCACACUUGCUUCUACCACGUCUGCAUCUUGUAUUUUCUGGGUCUUUGUCUCUUGAAGAACAAAUAAAUACACCUCCUUUAGGACUCAAUAUCAUGUCACACGCUUUCUGAGGAUUUUCCUGACCCAAUGGGACAAACAUAACUACUCUUUGUUCGGCUCCCUGUGUAUACCUCUUUCACAACCCUGUAAUAUAUUAUGAUACAAAUUGUCUACAGGUCUGUAGACUCCCUACAGAUUUAGCUUUUCGUAUUUAAGACGUGAAUCGUGUUUUUUUCUCUUUAGGCACACUGAUGUUUGAAAAUUCCUGAUGGUCUCAAAGAUCAGUAAAUGUGUGAGCCACUGUUACUGUGGCUAACCAUGUGCUUGGCUUAGGGCAGAGAUACUCAGACUUACUGAAUGUAAGAAUUGCCCAGAUGUUGGAUGAUAUUCAAAUUCUUGGAAUGCAUUCCCAGAAAUUUUGAUUCAAAAGCAAUGAGGAGGGAUCCAGAAAUCCAUUGUUUUCACAGGCACCCCAGGUACUUGUGACACAGGUGUAUGAGGAAUAAACAUUGAGAAACUGACUUUUCCAGUUAUCUAUUGUUGCGUAACCAACCACCCUCAGGGACAUAAACAAACUACUUGGAGGAAAUAGAAAACAACUGUUUAUUAUGCCCAUGGAUUCUGAAGUUCUGGAAUUUGUACAUGACACAGCAGGAAUGACUUGGCUUUGCCCUAUGAUGUCUGGGGAAGGAGGGAGACUCAGAUGUCUAGGGGGUACUUGAAUGGCUGAGGACUGGAAUAGAUGGGCUGUAGGAUCUCUCGUGUUAUAGUUUUCUUACUCACAUCCUUGAUUACUGGGCUGGGAUGAGUUAAAGACUGGGUUCAGCAGAGGUGGUCAACAAGAGCACCUACAUGUGGCUUGGACUUCUCAGCAUGGGAGCUGGGUUCUGAGAGGGAGCACUCCAAGAAAGAUCUUCACAUCACCAGUAUGAUGGAAUUGAAGCCCAAGAUUGGUAAUGUUAUGAUGGCGUUUCGCUCUUAUUGCCCAGGCUGGAGUACAAUGGCACGAUCUUGGCUCACCACAACCUCUGCUUCCUGGGUUCGAGUGAUUCUCCUGCCUCAGCCUCCCAAGUAGCUGGGAUUACAGGCAUGUGCCACCAAGCCCAGCUAAUUUUUGUAUUUUUAGUAGAGAUGGGGUUUCUCCAUGUUGUUCAGGCUGGUCUCCAACUCUCGACCUCAGGUGAUCUGCCUGCCUCGGCUUCCCAAAGUGCUGGGAUUACAGAUGUGAGCCACUGCACCUGGCCAAAGUGAAGUCUUAAUUCCUAAUUACUUUGUCUCUUCUUGUUAUUAACUUCUUUUCACUUCUUGAAUUUACUGUACUAACUGCACCAAAAGAAUAAUUUCUUGAUUAUAUAAUUCAUGCAGAAAUAAAAAAGGCUAUUUUACAA